GUGAGUCCCCGAUACUCAAGGUUCUUUCCAGUCAGCCCUGACAGGCACCAACCACAGAAAAACAGAUUCGGCCUUUUGAAGGGAGCAGCAUCGGACACUAAAAUUCUUAAAAGUUAAAAGCACUAAAAGUCACUAAUCUCUUUCCAUGUGCCGGUCACUGAAUAGAGCUUACUGCAUACGUGACAUAAAAUCCUUGUUACUUCUUGUCUUAGUCAGGGUUUCAUUGCUGUCAAGAGACACCACAUUCAAAACAACUCUUCUAUAGGAAAUAUUUAAUCCGUGCUGGCUUACAGUUUCAGAGGUUCGGCCUACUAUCAUCAUGGCGUGGGGCAUGGCAGCACACAGGCAGACUUGGUGCUGGAGAAGGAGCUGGGAAUCCUCCAUCUUGAUCAGGAGGCAGCAGAAGAAGACUGUCUCCUGUAGGCAGCCAGGAGGAAGCUUUCCUCUGCUCCAGGAAGAGUUUGAGCCUAGGAGUAUGGAUGACCGGAAGGCAGCCAAACCACCGGAAGGCAGCCGAGCCACCGGAAGGCAGCCGAGCCACCGGAAGGCAGCCGAGCCACCGGAAGGCAGCCGAACCACCGGAAGAUAGCCGAACCACCGGAAGGCAGCCGAACCACCGGAAGAUAGCCGAACCACCGGAAGGCAGCCGAAUCACCGGAAGAUAGCCAAACCACCGGAAGGCCCACCCCAGAGUAGCCAACGACUCACAAAAACUCUCAGGAGCAACCUGUUGAUGUUUGCAGGUUUAGUCCAUUGUCAUCAUGGAGGAUGGAGGGCAGGCAGACCUAGUGCUGGAGAAGAAGCUGAGAGUUCUACAUCCUGACCCAAAGGCAGCAGGAUUGUAUGCCACACCGGGCUUAGCUUGAGCCUAGAAGACCUCAAAGCCCUCCUCCACAGUAACACACUUCCUGAAACAGGACCACACCCACCCCUCCCAAUGAUGCUACUCUGUACAUGCCAAGCAUUCCAACAUGAAAGGAGGCGCCAGCGUUACCGGGAGAUCUAUCUGAUGGUGAAACUGCCAUGGGUCCAAGGAUCACUCAGGCUUGCCCUUGGUCACCGCGGAGAUAUGAAACCUCCAAGGGAUGAUCCAAUGAACCUCCCACCCCUGAUGCAUCCAUUUCUCUCCACUGGCUUCUUGCUCAUCCUUUAAAAAUCAGUUAGCUUAGAAAUAUAAAAUUUUUAGUUUACAACUAUAACAGGAACCAAUAGUGAUUGAUAGGGGACAGUCACCCGGUCUAGAGGGUGCCAUUUGAGCUAUCUGGAUGUAGAAUUUACAUGGACUUGGUGACAUUUACUUCGUGAUUGUGGGAAGUGAUGCUAUAGAGAUAGAAAGUCAUGUUCUCAGGUAACUAAAGCAGGUUGACCAGAAGGCCCUGUAUCUGUCGAUCAGAGAGAAGAGGGGGUUCAGGAGCAAAUGCUGGAGGUUGGAGUAGCACACAGUGUUUUAGAUGUGAGCCACGAUCCCAAAGACACUGGAGGCAGGUUUGAGGAUUCACGAUCCAAGAUGGCCCUUCACAGGCAAAUCCUCUGACACAACAGAGACCUCUGUGCUUGACAAUGUUUGGUGAGUCUCAGUUGUGUUUGUAUAGAGAGCUUUUUGGGACCACUUGCUUUGCUCCUAGACACUGGGCAGGAAUCUGACCUUAUCAGGACCAAAGAAUAAACCAGGGGCAGGAAUCUGGCUUUGGGCUUGGGCUCAGGAAAUGGGCCCUGAUUAAGAAAAUUUACAUUUGAAUUAGUGCAAAGCUCAGAGCAGGCUCAGUGGAAGCAUGUGUGGCAGUCUUUUGUCUUGGUCAUCCUGACUAACCCCCAGAAAGGUGUUUACAGGAGACUUGCUUGUCCCUUGAUCCAAACUGAUCUUUAUAUUCUGCAUGUACUGAAAACAGAAUCAAAGCAGAUUGGAAAAUGAAAAGUCUGCUUUAGCCUCAGAACUGGCUGGAGUCGUGUAAUAGUUUUGUCUGUCUUUUUUUCUUUCCAGUCCUCACUCCUGCCCUGGAGAACCUGUUGACUGUCUGAGCUGGCGUGGUCAUAUGUGUGUAUCAGGGCCUGUCCCCAGUGAUGGCUGAAGCUGUUUGGCUGUCCUGCUAUAAGUGUGGUUUGCACAGAUGGGAACAUUCUGUCCACUCCAGGACACUGGGCUUCUUCAGUCCCAGUACCCCCGACAGUUGGGGCCAGACCAUCCCAAAUCUGGAUGGCUCCCUUAGACACUCACUACAAGACAUUUAACAGCAAUACUAGCCUCCACCUAGAAGACGCCCAUCUCAGCCCCUGGACCUGGAGACCAAGCAGGGUCUCCUAACAUUGCACAUUUUCUUUAGGGCUGACAUUACCACCUGCCAAUAGUUCUUCUUGACAACUGGGGACCUCAAGGUUGCUGACGCUUCAUAGUCUUGAGUUGGCGGUGACAUUUGAGGUGGCCGGUAUCCAGUAUGCACCACUUAUCUUUCAUAUGUGUAUGGUGACUGAAUGAUUCAAAAAUUCUGCUAAGGAGACAUCCUCCUAAAAGAGUUGUUUUUCGAUUCGAUGCAGAUUGUCUCUCACGGGUCACAUGUUUGAACAUCUGGUCUUCAGUUGGGAACCUUUAGAAAGUGGGGCUGGGUUGAAGGAAGUGAUUCCUGGGAGUGGGGCAGAGGGUGAGUGCCCAUGGUCCAACUCCACUUCUGUCAUGAGCUUUCUAUGCACAGAAGUGAGGUGAAAAGCUGUGUUGCAAAUACCCACUGCUGCCAAGAGUCACUCCCACCAUGGCCAAGCCUUUCUCACUGUGGACACAAGGGACUGUGUUCCUUCAGACUGUAAACCACUGUUAAGACUUUACAUCUUUAAUGGCUUUCUGUCAUGCAUUGUGUCACAGGAACGAUAAAUUAAUCUGACAACGAGGGUGACGUUAGUGUUGCAGGUCGAGGAGGUGGGAGCUAAGGCCUUGCAGGUGGAGAGGCAGGGGUGAGUAGGGUGAACCAGAGGGGCUGGGUAGGAUUCUUGGCAGGGGGCAUCCACAGGUUAUCUUCCCCUUUGUAUAUUCUCAUGUCGGGAGAUGCAUUCAGAAGUAGGGAGCAAACGUGAGAGGGAAGAUUGAGACUGAAUCAUGGAGAUACUUUUACAUUACCCUGGGUGAUAUUUAAUAAGCACAGCGGGGCUGGAGAGAUGGCUCAGCGAUUAAGACUACUAUAGCUCUUUCUUCCCAAGUUCAGUUCUCAGCACCCGCACUGGGUGCCCACAACCGCCUGUAACUCCAGUUCCAGGGGAUUUGUCGCCAUCUUCUGGAUUCCAUAAGCAUUGCACUGAUGUGCACAAACCCACGUGGGCAAUCUUCGUGUAGUUUUUAAAAAUUAAAAAUAUCAUCUUAAAACAUAUAAAAUAUGCACAACAGCCAGACGUAGUAAGGGCAAGAAUGGUGUUACCCACACAUAGCCUGGACUCAAGAUCGUCCUCACUGGGAUAAUAUCUCGUAUUUCUUAAAAAUAAAUGGCUAUAUAGAAACUUAUGUCAUAUUAAAAAUAAGACAGAUGGAUUAGGAAAAUACAUAUAGAAUUAAAUGAAAUGAAGAAGAUAACCAUCCAGUGUUACUCCCAAGUAAACCACCCUGUCUCUGUUCCCAUCUCUGUGUAUCACUCAGGCAAACUGGGGCCAGGCUGUGACUCCCAUUUGAUGGCUGAAGGAGACUGGCUCUCCCUCCUGUUCUCAUGUGACCCACCCCUUCCACAACGUGCAGUGACCCAGGAGCAUUUCCCCGUUACACACUGUUGUGUUUGCAGUAUUUUCAUCUACUCCAUAUCUCCAUGAUUCAGCCUCAGUCUUCUCUCUCAGGUUUGCUGAAUGCCUCUCAGGACAUGAGAAUACACAGAGGGGAAGAUAGCCUGUGACUCUGAGAGUCCUACCUCUCCUCUCUGGUCUAGGCUCACGCUGCCUCUUCACCCUCAAAGCCUUAGCUUUGACCUCAUCACCCUGCAGCUCUAACAUCACCCCCAUUGGCGUGGGGACCCGAUCCCACUCCAAACGUGACCCUCCUCUAUGUCUCAGAUAUACCUUAUACACGAUGUUCUGAUAGUUUUGCACAUGGAAUGAGUUUUGUACUGUGGAAUUUUGGGUCUUGAAGCAUUACCAGUUUGUGAUUUCAGAUUGUUGAGUUAAAGAUGCUAAAGAUAAAGAAAAUAAAUUCCUUUCUUCGCAUCCUUA